GGGUCUUUUCUGGAGGUCACCUCUGCUGGUGUUUUGUGAGUGAGUGCAGGAUAGGGGUUGGAUGUCUCUUCUGCUGUAUUGCUUCUGCAGCUACCUUUGACUGGGGUUUUCUUUGGGAAUCAUAUCACUUAAGAAGUAGAGGAUGGAGUAAUGGCUUCAGGGAGUGUCUUCUGCCAAGAGAGGAGGUCUGUGGUUGGAGCAGAAGAACUGAAAUGGACUUUUUGCUAUUAAAGCAUUGUGAUCAACUAGGCUGGAUGGAUUCAAGCCAAGAGACUGCAUCUGGAUGAGCCUAAGUUCUUUGGCACCCUGCUGAAAUCAAUUCUUUUCCUUUGUUAGGAGGGUCUCCAUAACAUGAGCUACUGGAAUAAGUUAAAGGAAAUACUAUUGGAAGCUCCUGACAAAAUCAUGUCUAUCACCUGAUUUUGCAGUUACUGAAUCGAUCUCUGGUGGUGAGAGCAAAAUGCAUCCUCAUGAGUGUGCAUGAUGGAAUCCAGAGAAAUGAGAUUUUUCCUGAUUUAAUGAAGCACCUUACUGAUUUUAUACUGAGGAUUGAGCCUAACAACUUUUGGGACUUGAAAAACAUGCUCACUACUUCACAUUUAACUGAUAGUUUACAUAGAAAUGGGCUUGAACGCUUGCUGAUGCACCUUGAUAAACUGAGAGCUAUUCAAAUAGCUUUACAAAGAAGGUGAAUCUAUGGAUUUAUCUGCAAUACUUAAACACAUUUUUUUCCCUUUAGUACUGAUAUUUCAUACAGAAUGGGCUGUGUUUUGAGACAAAGGUACUCUCAGGGCAAUAUCUUUCCCAUAGCAAGCAUCUUUAAAAUACUUAGAGUAAAAAACUUGUCACCUGGAUGGGAUGUCACCAGACUUGGGGGUUUAUCAGACUGGAGUGCCUUGCUGGUUGAAAGGUCAUCCACUAAAAGCUGGGAUUUGCUCCCAUGGGUGGCCAACCAGCUUGUUCCAAACCUUCCAGUCCUGCAGAAGUUACCUUGAUUUGAUUCCUGCACUGUGCUGCAGAGUGGGCAGAAUACAGUGAGUAAAUGACUAUAUUCAGCAAUGGAAAGAAUUGCUUUUUGUUUUGCAAGCUGUAACCACAGAUUAUUUCCUGUACCCCUGUUGUCAGAAGAAACUGUUUCUCUAAUUUCCACCUGUGGGGCCCUUUGUGUGGACACUGCUGACUGCCAUGACUUGAUGGGCUCCUGCACCAAAAAGCUCCUUACAGAUGCGUGUAGGCAGAAUUGUCCAAUUCUUUUUUUAUCUGAAUUGGGGUCUUGUAAUGCUGGUCGCUGGACUUCACUUAAAAAAUACAUUAAGAAUCCAAGCCUACAUAUUCCUAAUGACUAACCUUUAGCAUGAAAAGCCACUUUCUUUCCAAGACUUUAAUUUGGAGACUUUUAAAAUGUCUUAUUUUGACUAAUUAAAACAUGCUGGUAUUUUCAUGUAGCAAGUCACUUGGUUUUGCAAAUUCCUUGCAGGGGUUUAAAACUUCUACCUCAUUUUCUAGACCACUUGUCUGUGAGAAGGACUUGAAAAUGAGAGGUUUUCUCUCUUGCUGGAAUUCCACAGUAAAUGUCAGUAUGAAUAGAAUUAGAAUCUUUAUAUAUCACCACCCCUCUCUUCUGCUGUAUGUAGGCAGCAAAAUGCAUGUGCUGGCUAAUGGUAAAAUGUCAUUGCUCUGUGAGCACUUGUGGGUAUCAUCCAGAUGUGGGGGUGAUAUUUUUGUCUGCUAGAGGUCAGUUUAGAAAAGGGCACGGAGAAAGAAGAGUAAAGGAAUGGAUGUUUUGAGCUAGAAAUAGUGGCAAAGUUGUGUCUGUUCUGACAAACUGAUGUCUGAUGCUGGUGCAGUGGAACAGCACAUUUCAUUUGCAAUUAGGUAAAUUGGGAUAGAAAUGUGUUUUACUCGGGCAGGUGAUAGUAACAGCUGCAUUGGACAUGAGGGGGUGUGCUGAUGCCUAUGACCUAUGGACAGCAGGUGAUAAUGUGCUCCUACAUCUUCCUCAGAACCCAUAUCAACAGGCGAAUACAGAGUUCAUUUUGAACUUUAAGCACUGUGCUUGAAGUUUGUCAGCCAGUGUGGAAGAUUCAGGCUCUGAUUUUAAUUGGGAUAGUCUGAAAAGGAAGAAAAUAUAUUCCAGACAGUGGAAAAGAGGAACCCAAAAUGUGUCAGAAAGAACCUGGAAGAGCUCCAAAAGGGUUUUGCCCUCAGCUCAGACUUUCCUGCUACAAGAAACUAUAAAUAGUGAUACAAGAUUGUAAUGUGAGCUAAUACAUUUUAGAGAAGCAUCCUUUGAGCAGAUCUUCAUUGUGGGUCUCUUUCCUUCAGAAGCCCCAUGUUUGAUUCCAAUUAUUUCACCAACAAAGAGAAGAAAAUACAGCCAAUGUUUAUAAAUGGAUUUUACAAAGUUUUCACUGGGUUGUUAUUAUGAUGCUACAAUUAAUGUUUUUGGAAGCAAACUAUUUGGGAAAUGGAAAUAUCCCUUGCUUGAUACAGUGAAACAGCGAAGCACAUGUGUUACAGAGUAGAUAUAGAAGUUUUAUGGCUUGCUGAAAAGAGGGGGGGAAUCUGAAGCCUCCAGGAAUAUUACAUUUGCAUCAUGUACAAAGAGUGUGCAAUUAAAUAAGCAAUUAGUUAUGAAUUAUUCACUCUGCUUGACUGUUGGGUUUUUGAGUAGCACGUUAACCUUGAGAUGACUGCUUUUAUAACCCUUAUUGUUCACCAAUAAAUUAAUCUGCAAUAAAAAAAAGAACACAAAAGCACCACUCUCACUGGGCUUGAUCUUGGAAAGAAGUUUCACUCUGCUUCUUGUUGUUGUAUUGCAUCUGGGAGAUGGGCAUCAUGACAGCAGGAGC